GGAUGUGAUCAUACCAGCACUAAAGCAUCGGAUCCCAUCAGAACUUCGAAGUUAAGCGUGCUUGGGCGAGAGUAGUACUAGGAUGGGUGACCUCCUGGGAAGUGCUCGUGCUGCAUUCC
rnacentral:rRNA from 2 species